GAAAAAGCACAAGCAGGGAAAGAGAGAAGUAGGCUCCCCACUGAGCAGAGAGCCCUGUGUGGAACUCGAUCCCAGGACCCCGGAAUCAUAACGUGAGCCCAAGGCAGAUGCUUAACCUGUUGAGCUGCCCUGGCACCCCCAUGGGGGUCUGGUUGCCUUCAGAGGUGUCCUUCUUGGCAACAAACCUGUGUAUAUGCUCUUCCUUUUGGGGAGAAGUGAGCCUCUUCUCUGUGCUGAGGACCAGGUGAGUUAAACUCAGC
rnacentral:lncRNA from 1 species